rnacentral:rRNA from 1 species
AACGAACGCUGGCGGCAAGCUUAACACAUGCAAGUCGAACGGACCGUAUACGCAGCUUGCUGCGUGUAUGGUUAGUGGCAGACGGGUGAGUAAUGCAUAGGAAUCUACCUAGUAGUAUGGGAUAGCCACUAGAAAUGGUGGGUAAUACUGUAUAAUCCCUGCGGGGGAAAGAUUUAUCGCUAUUAGAUGAGCCUAUGUCAGAUUAGCUAGUUGGUGGGGUAAUGGCCUACCAAGGCGGUGAUCUGUAGCUGGUCUGAGAGGAUGAUCAGCCACACUGGAACUGAGACACGGUCCAGACUCCUACGGGAGGCAGCAGUGGGGAAUAUUGGACAAUGGGCGCAAGCCUGAUCCAGCUAUGCCGCGUGAGUGAGGAAGGCCUUAGGGUUGUAAAACUCUUUCAGUAGGGAAGAUAAUGACGGUACCUAC